UAGCUCAGUGGUUAAGGGCUCUGGCUGUUUUUCCAGAGGACCUGGGUUCAAUUCCCAG
rnacentral:tRNA from 1 species